GCGUCUAUAGCUCAGUAGGAUAGAGCGGUGGUUUCCUAAACCAUGUGUCGCUGGUUCGAUUCCGGCUAGGCGCA
rnacentral:tRNA from 1 species